CAUUGCGAAAAGUCAUGCGACCUGCACACUUUGAGAAGCAUUACUCUUUGAACGCACCUUGCGCGAGUUAUGAAAGUAGCUCGAGGUCCUGUUUGAGCAAGAAAUGAAAGAUUGUACGUGAUUGUUUUACGAAGGUAAGACGAUUCAAAAGGAUGCGGAUGCUGAGCGAUUAGCCUGAACGACUCUAAGGCAAGCACAGCAAUGAAAGUGAUGACACGAAAGUAGUGCGACAAGCAACGCUGCGUAGUGAAAUGACGAUCAUGAUCCGCAAGGACGAGUAAGCAUGCAGUUAGCAUCGCCACUCAAAACACAACACACACUUCUCAAAUCAGGAUAGAGGACCCGCUGAACUUAA
rnacentral:misc_RNA from 1 species